AUGAACGCUGGCGGCGUGCCUAAUACAUGCAAGUCGAGCGCCCCUUUAUGAGUAGAGAAUUCGCUAAGAAUUAUCUGUUCCUAUGGGGAGCGGCGGACGGCUGAGUAACGCGUGGGAACGUGCCCCAAAGUGAGGGAUAACGCACCGAAAGGUGUGCUAAUACCGCAUAUGAUCUUCGGAUUAAAGCUUUAUGCGCUUUGGGAGCGGCCUGCGUCCUAUUAGAUAGUUGGUGAGGUAAAGGCUCACCAAGUCAACGAUGGGUAGCUGGUCUGAGAGGAUGACCAGCCAGACUGGAACUGAGACACGGUCCAGACUCCUACGGGAGGCAGCAGUAAGGAAUCUUCCACAAUGGGCGAAAGCCUGAUGGAGCAACGCCGCGUGCAGGAUGAAGGCCCUCGGGUCGUAAACUGCUUUUAUGAGUGAAGAAUAUGACGGUAACUCAUGAAUAAGGGUCGGCUAACUACGU
rnacentral:rRNA from 1 species